GCAAGACAUACAAGAAAUGUAACUUGACUGAUUAUCAUCACAAAUCGGUCCAGAAAAAAUUCAAAACACAUGCAAAGGGUUCAUUUUCUCAAAGCUCUGACUUUUGCAUUCCAGGAGGAACGUGGAAUUUAAGUUAGAGGGCUCGAAGUGGAAGACUGAAGAGGCACAACCGUAUAAUUUGUGGGCGGAAGAGACAAGGAAAGUCUGAUGCUCUCCUUCCUCCCCCUACCCCAAUGUUCAGCAGUUGGAGUCGGACGGUCUGCUAAACUUGUCAUUUCACGUGGAGAAUCAAGUUGUUGAGACUGGCUUUUCUUCCAACCGGAUACCUAAUGGGUGGAGCAGGCGCCCCCUGUUCUGUCCCAGCAACCUACUAAGACUUCCGAACAGGAAGUUUUCCUACCGGGAGGAAUCCGGCCCCUUCCCUUUAACUCCCCGGUGGCGAAGUGGCCAGAGUUGCGUCACCAGAUUCUGCUUGUAAAUGCAACCUAGAGGGCGAUCGCGUUCUCCGGGAGAACCAGUCCGGAAUGCUUGAUUUCCCCCGACUUGCCUCCAGAGGAUUAAUCAGUUCCAGAUAAUUCCUCCACAGCACCUUGUGCAGCUAGAGAAAAUACACACCGCUUGAUAGGAGAUACGCGAAUAACCUUCUCAUUCUCCAAACCAUCAUCUCAUUCAUCCCUCAUCCUGGGAAAACUACAAUCAAAACUCACCAAUGGAAAUGAUUCAACAAGAUGUAAAGUUUGCACUGAAACAACAUUUUCCAGUGAAUGUGUAUUUUAAUACUUCAAAAAAUCGUUUUAGCUCAUCUACUUUAUUUUUCCUUAAUGAUGGCCUAUAAAUACUAAAACCUGAAAGGUUUACUAAGAUGUGACCUUUUCCUUUCAAAGGCUCGGAAAACAAAUUCCUAAUGUUUCUGCACACAUUAGAGGAAAUAUUUUGAAAAAUGGUUUUAUAAGGACCUCAGUAUAUUCCCUCUUGGACUACUUCUUAAUAAUGUCAACUGUGUUUAUCUUCAUUCCCUAGAUAGAGUGUCUUCCAUUGGUAACAGGGCAAUAUAAUUGCUUUCUAUUGAUGAAAGUGCCAUAAAUUCUGGAACAACCCUGUGUACGGUUUAGGCUCCCAUACUUACUGAUUCAUUGGUUGAUGCUGAUAGCAUCCAUUUCCUGCAGCAUCACUGAAGAAAGUAUAUAUAAAUGCCAGAAAACAUAAUUAUUACUCUAGAGAGUUUUUGUUGGAUUGGUUUUUGUUAGAAGUUGUUACCAAGUGCAUGUCUUUUUUACAGUAUUCGUCAAACAGAAAAUGAUGGCAGCAAGUGAGUUUAUUCAGGAUCACUAUUAUAGAUAAGUAACAGCUAAUGGUAGUUAAAUAAAUGUCUAUAGAACACACAUUCUGUAUUAUCACCUUCUGCAUUUGUACCCGUCAAAAGUGAUGUGCAUAAAGCACAGAAGAUUGUGAUACAGUGAACUAAGAGAACACAGAACCUAGAAUAAUAGUGUGAAGAGUUAUUAAAACCCAUAAAACUACA